GUAUGUGAGGUUCAAUCUGGCUUCUACAUCCAUCACUCUAUUGAUCACUAGGGUUGACUUGGCUGAUCUGGCUGGCUAGGCGGGUGUCCCUUCCUCCCUCACUACUCCAUGUGUGUCUCUCCCAAAGCUGUGCACUCAGUCAAAGAGGAUAGCCUUCCCCAAAAAGAGACAGAACAGUCAUUGGUCAAGGGUAUAGGAGUAGAGUAGCUGCACUCCCCUGUUAGAACCUCCAAACAAGCUCUCAAGAUCCAUUUGUAGGAGAACAUAGGGUAGUCAAGCUUCCAAGACUCUAGACACAUCCAAAUGAGGCACUGCAUGUGGCAGUCUGCCUUUCUAG
rnacentral:snRNA from 1 species